UACGUAGGGAGCAAGCGUUGUUCGGAAUUACUGGGCGUAAAGGGCGCGUAGGCGGCCCGCUAAGUCGAACGUGAAAUCCCCGAGCUCAACUCGGGAACUGCGUCCGAUACUGGUGGGCUUGAAUCCGGGAGAGGGAUGCGGAAUUCCAGGUGUAGCGGUGAAAUGCGUAGAUAUCUGGAGGAACACCGGUGGCGAAGGCGGCAUCCUGGACCGGCAUUGACGCUGAGGCGCGAAAGCUAGGGGAGCAAACGGG
rnacentral:rRNA from 1 species